UACAGAGGGUGCAAGCGUUAAUCGGAAUUACUGGGCGUAAAGGGUGCGUAGGUGGUUAUAUAAGUUAGAUGUGAAAUCCCUAGGCUUAACCUGGGAACUGCGUUUAAUACUGUGUAACUAGAGUACUGCAGAGGUUAGUGGAAUUUCCAGUGUAGCGGUGAAAUGCGUAGAUAUUGGAAGGAACACCAGUGGCGAAGGCGACUAACUGGGCAGCUACUGACACUGAGGCACGAAAGCGUGGGGAGCAAACAGG
rnacentral:rRNA from 1 species